CAAAAGCUCUAUUAUAUAUCCGUUCCCUUCCUUUCAAUUAAAUCCUCAAACCAUAUUAAAAACUUCAUAAUAGUUAUAGAACUACACAAUGAUCACACAAGACACGAUAGUCUCCCUUUCUACAUUCAAUCUUUGUGAAUAAUUUGAAUGACACAUGUUGAUGUGAGUCGGUCCAAUUUGACACGAACACAUUCCAUAAAACAAGUUAAACAACACUGGCCUUGCUCGCUAGCAAAAGACUAUUAUUCUAUAUUCAACCUUAAGGCCCAAUGGAUGACCAGGACCUUCACUUUUGAUAUUGCAAAAGAUACAAAUUAAAAACCAAAUAAUGAAAGGGGCCAUGAAAUAUUCUUAGUUUUUACUAGCAAUCAAAGUUUGGUCAUCACUAGUUCGUGCCGGUGACGUGCUUGUGUCCUUCACCAGGGGAGGGGGGGCUCGGGCCUGAGUCCUCAAUCCCUCCAAGUGUCUCUGAGUUGGUGAACUUGUGUCCCUCGCUUGGGCUCGGCCCAGCUUGCUUGAUGGCCCCAAGCGACAACCCGUCGAAGAACCCUCCGCAGGCAACUCCCACUGGAGCUUUCGGCUCCAUCACAUUGAAGGGUCGAGCUCCGUUGGCAACGAAAGUGGGGCUGAGCAUCGCCAGGACCAAGAGAAUGUGGAGAGCCCUUGUUGUGCUCCACAUGUUCGACGAAAUUACUGACAGAGACAAGCAAAAGCAAAUUUAUACUGACAGAGACGAUAAAGAGCAAAUUUUUUUAUUUGUUUGAAGGGAGUUUGUGAUGCGGAGUCUAUGGCCGAGCGGUUGCUCAAAAU
rnacentral:lncRNA from 1 species